UAUAAUCUUCAUUUACUCAAGCUUUCUUUCAUGAUUUAGUAGUUUGAUAUAUACUUACCAAACCUUAAGGUCUUCUUUCUUUUCACUUCAGAUAGAUGUAAUCCAUGAAUAAAAAUAUUUGUUAAAAAUGAGUCAUGUAUAUUAUGAUUAGUCGAUCUCAUUAAGAGAUCUUCCAUCCUUCCAUAAAAAGAAUCAAGACAUCCUUCUAAUUUUAUUUUUAUAUUUUUUAAUU
rnacentral:lncRNA from 1 species